UGGCAGGGUUCUGGCUUGACUGGGGGCGUGAGUCUCAUUAGACUCAUGCACCCCUAAAUUUGGCAGGGCACGUGCUCUGCCAUUUUGCUUUUCAAUAGGGCAAUAGCGUCGAAAGACAACAGUGGAGCUUAUAGA
rnacentral:sRNA from 1 species